rnacentral:rRNA from 1 species
GACGGAGGAUGCAAGCGUUAUCCGGAAUGAUUGGGCGUAAAGAGUUCGUAGGUGGUUUGUUAAGUCUGAUGUUAAAGACUGGGGCUCAACCUCGGAAAUGCAUUGGAUACUGGCAGACUUGAGUGUGGUAGAGGCAAUCGGAAUUCCAGGUGUAGCGGUGAAAUGCGUAGAUAUCUGGAAGAACACCGGUGGCGCAAGCGGAUUGCUGGGCCAUAACUGACACUGAGGAACGAAAGCUAGGGUAGCGAAUGGG